AUGGAGUGACAUUUCGCGUUUGUUGUUGUCAGGUCUGAUCAAGCUGGUGUCCAAGCAUAGAGCUCAGGUGAUCUACACCAGAAACACCAAGGGCACAGAUGAGGUAGCUCCAGAGAAGGAGGCAUAAUAUGAUUGCACCUUGGCUUGAGUUAUGGACUUUUGUAUAGGUAAAUAAACAACCACAAAAUGAAA